UAGGGAAUCUUCCACAAUGGACGAAAGCCUGAUGGAGCAACGCCGCGUGAGUGAAGAAGGGUUUCGGCUCGUAAAGCUCUGUUGUUAAAGAAGAACGUGGGUAAGAGUAACUGUUUACCCAGUGACGGUAUUUAACCAGAAAGCCACGGCUAACUACGUGCCAG
rnacentral:rRNA from 1 species